AAUCCUCAGCGAUAGAGACCCAAUCUUCCUCAGCCACUUUUGGAAGGAACUGUGGCGCCUCUCGGGAACAACACUGAAGAUGUCUACAGCCUAUCACCCCCAAACCGAUGGACAGACAGAGGUCGUGAAUCGCUGCAUCAAGCAGUACCUCCGCUGCUUUGUCCAGCAACGUCCAACGCACUGGAGUUCCUUCCUUCCCUGGGCCGAAUUUUGGUACAACACCACCUUUCACUCCAGCAUGGGAACAACUCCUUUCCAAGCUCUCUACGGCCGCCCUCCUCCAGCCAUUCCACGGUAUGAACUAGGUUCAACUCUUGUUGGUGAAAUAGAUGAACAACUGCAGCAUCGGGACGAGUUGUUAGAUGAACUGAAGCAACACUUGGAAGCUUCGAACAACAGAAUGAAACAGCUAGCAGAUACCAAAAGAAGAGAUGUGGAGUUUCAGGUUGGUGACUGGGUUUUCUUACGCCUGCAACCUUAUCGCCAGAAGACUGUCAUUCGCCGUACUUCACAGAAGCUCUCACACCGCUACUUUGGCCCUUUCAAAGUCGAAGCCCGCGUCGGACAAGUCGCUUACCGCCUCACUCUUCCCACAACCGCACGAAUCCACCCAGUCUUUCAUGUCUCACUACUGAAGAAACGAAUUGGCGAUGAUGAACCUGCCUCAGUUCAGCUACCGCCCUUGAAGGAGUCUGGUCUCUUACGUUUAACUCCAGCCAAAGCUCUGCAACAACGUCACAUUCAGAAAGAUGGAAAAGAACUACAGGAGAUAUUAAUUCAAUGGGUUGACUUACCUGCAAGUGAAGCAACCUGGGAAGACAAGCAACAGAUUGCGACCAGCUUCCCUACUUUCGCCAUGAACCUUGAGGACAAGGUUCUUUCUGAGGAUGGGAGUGUUGAUAGGAUACAAGAAGAUCCAUUUGAAGACAUUGAAAUGGCGCCAAGAAAGUCAACUAGACUACGUAAGCCAAACAACAAAUAUCUUUAAAUCUUAAGGAUAUAUCUUUUAUUUAUUUCUGUUAUCAAUAAGGAGAACGAGUCUUCCGUAACGUUCUCCACAUUUCCAUGUUUCCUGCAAUGUAGGAGUCAAUGACUCCACCUUCUUAUUCUGUUAUUUGCUUCAUGUACUUCCCUAUUUAGAUCAAUGAAAAAGACAAAAAGAGGUAGACUUAUCUACCCAAAACUACUUGUGUUCUUGUUACUUGUGAUCAACAUUGGUAUCUCUUGGCAAGGGACCUAUCAAAAACACUGUAUCACAGUAUCAGUUGAAUUGUUACAUCAAGGAUGAAGACUGACAUAGAGAGAUUGUGUAUAUUUAUUGAUCGUCUCUAGAGCUUAUCUUGUAGGUAGUAACAGUUUCGUUUGAUCAAUCGCAUUUGGCAAAUCAGUCUACAUGGCCUUCUUGUUCCAUUCAUUCUGAUUUUUCGAUGCUAACGAUAGUUAUAAUUAAGUUGUAACCAAAAAAGUACACAAUAAUGGUCCAGGUUUCUUCGAGAAAUGAAUUUAAAAUAGUAGAUGGAAGGUCGAUAUGUCUGGAAAAGGAAAAAACUACGUGACUCGUGAAGAGUUGUGCCAUGCCAUGUGGUGUCCAAAAAGAAUCGUAUCCUAACGUCAUCGUUUCACCUUUUAUAAAGCAUUAUUGUCUCUCGUUUCUUCUCCUUAAUUCUCAAGUCUUUUGCUUUUCAAUCAUUGACGCGGGACUCAAAACGAACCUCAAAAAUGCGAUUUUCUCUAUAUUUAUGAGAAUUGUUGUGUGUAAUGUAGUGGUUAUAUGUAGUAACUAAACAUUGAUUGAUAAACAAUUUUAACGUUUUUCAAUUUUAAUUUGAAACAAAAGCUAUCAAUCCACUAAUUGAUCCAUAUCCAAAUAUAUUAAGUUUCUACAUGCAUGCUAGAUUCGGAUAUAAACGUAAAACUGUGUAUAACAAUUUCAUUGGUGUCCAUUCUGAGCACGCAUAAUAAAGUAUCCACAUUGCUUGCAGACUGAAUCAUACUUAUAUAUCAUGCACAGUCCACUGCGCUAUACUUUUGUUUUUGUCUACAUAUUAUUACAUCACUUUGUUCCACGUAAAUGUCAGAAUCUCAACAGAUAUUGACCUAAACAGCGACAUACAAAUUAAGUUUUGUCAUUUGAUACAAAGCCAGAUAAAAGAAUGUUAAAUUUUAUUUUAUCUUUGGGAUUUUUUGCUUUUCUUGGCAAUUAUUAAGUUAGGUUUUAAAAUUUUUAGCUAAUGCAAGUACAUAAUUAUAUAUCUUGUCUUAUAUUAUACGUAUUGAAGUAUCUAAAUAAUGAAAGCCCCAGUUUCAUGAUUUAAUUUGUCCUACACAAAACGACUAUUUAGGUCAUCUUCCGUAAUCAACUCAACUGCUGACGUUGAUCGUCCAUUAACCUUAGCCUCAUAAUCAAACCGAAUAAAAAUUUUGUUGGCAUUAUCCCGGUUAAAGUUGUCGUAAACCGCUGGACCCUUUUCGGGGGAUAGUUGAGAUUGUGGCUGCCCAGAUACCAGAGUUAUCGAAAAAAAAAAAAAAAAAAAAAAAAAAAAGUUGUCGUAAACCGAUGGCUUGGGUCGACCAGAAUAAUCUAAGCUAUGUGCUCGUGGUGACUGAUGACUGACUUACUGGUGACUGGAUAACAUUACCAGCUUGAUCACUAUGCUAAUGAAGAGCAUCAGCUUCUAACAAAAAUUCAAUAGUAACACAAGUUCAAAAAAAAUUAAUAAUAACAAUAAAGGACGUCAGCAAGAACUCUUUACGUAUUGUUAACAAACUAAAAAAAUCACAAUUUUGUAUAAAAAGUUAAAAAGUAUCAAAAUGUAAUAAGAAAUAUACAACCAUUUUUCAAAAUGAAAUAAAAUAUAAAACAACAAUCUUUAUGUGUAACAAAGAUGAAUUAUCUUACCUGUAAAAAUGGAAGAGUAAGUGGGAGGCAGACUAAUGAAUUGAGUGAAUGAUAUGAAGAAAGACACCUUAAUCGAUUUAUCGAUGCCGUUGGAUUUAAGUUUGCCUUUUAGUUUUUGGUUAGGUUUGGUUUCGCUAAGUAGCCAGUAACUUUCUAGUUAUCGAAAUUUACUUAGAAUCUCUAUUAACAGAAGUAUAAUAUUGUGAAAAGGGAUACCAGCCACUGCACCACAGAAAAUACAGGCUCGAGUUACAAUCAAAACGUCACGCUCUGAACAGUCUGGCUUGUUCACAAGGUUCUUUUCAUUAGAAAAAAAAAACAAAUAAUUGUUUUCUAAAAAAAGUUUCUCUUUUUGGUAUAUUUUUUAAAGAUUAGUAUACAACCAUAAACUAUUAACAAAUUCGUUUAAGAGGAAACAAACAAAACAAAAAUGGUCACAAGAGUGUAUAUUUAGAGGAUGUGUGGUUCACUUCCCCAGGCGAACCAGUUAUAAAGAUAAAAUUUUAAUUUCCAAAAUAUUAAUACAGAAAAUUGGAAAAUGGUUACAAGAGUGUAUAUUUAGAAUUUUAGAGAAUGUGUGGUUCAUUUCCCCAGGCGAACAAGUAAAGAUGAAAAUUUCAUUUCCAAAAUAUUAAUACAAAAAAUUUGUUAAAAGUUUUCAUUUCCAAAAAUACAGAAAAUUGUAACAAACAAAUAUUUUUGUUAGUUUCUAUUCUUAUAUUUAAAUUUAAUUAGUAAGGCUACAAUUUUUUUUUAUGUCUUGGUAUUUUUAAAAAUAAACCAAAUAGCAUAAUAAUUACACUAAUUUAUGUGGACCAUUACUCUUUGUAAUUUGAUAAUAAUUGUUUUUUUUUUCGCGGUGAAGCGGUUGGCACACGCUGAUUCUUCAUAUAUACCCCUGAGGAAGACGCUUUCUGAUACACAACACUCACCACAUUCUCCCUCUCACGCUUUCUCUCUUCUCACAGUACAAGAAACGAACAAAAAAGAGAAACUCUUUAGAGAUCAAAAGAUGAACAUCGCUCACACCAUCUUCGGCGUUUUCGGAAAUGCCACUGCUCUGUUUCUGUUCUUGGCUCCUUCGAUAACAUUCAAGAGAAUCAUCAAGAACAAAUCAACCGAACAGUUCUCUGGCAUCCCUUACCCUAUGACUCUCCUCAACUGUCUCCUCUCCGCCUGGUACGGACUUCCCUUUGUGUCAAAGGACAACACGCUUGUGAGCACAAUCAACGGAACAGGAGCCUUGAUAGAGACAGUCUACGUGUUGAUUUUCCUUUUCUACGCGCCAAAGAAGGAGAAAGCUAAGAUCUUUGGCGUCUUCACUGCCGUCUUGGCCGUAUUCGCAACGGUGGCUCUCGUCUCUCUCUUUGCCCUCCAUGGUAACGCUAGAAAACUCUUUUGUGGUAUUGCAGCUACCGUUUUCUCCAUCAUCAUGUACGCUUCUCCACUCUCAAUCAUGAGGUUGGUGAUAAAGACGAAGAGUGUAGAGUACAUGCCGUUCUUUCUCUCACUCUUUGUGUUCCUCUGUGGUACUUCUUGGUUCAUCUAUGGUCUUAUCGGUCGUGACCCUUUUGUUGCAAUACCAAAUGGGUUUGGAUGUGCUUUAGGGACACUUCAACUGAUUCUCUACGUCAUCUACUGCGGAAACAAAGGCGAGAAGUCUGCUGAAAAGGAUGACAAGUCACUGGAGAUGAAAGGUGAGGAGAAGAAGCAAAAUGUGGUUAAUGGAAAGCAGCAAGAGCAGCAAGUUUAGUUCUUUCAAUGAUUUGUUCUCUCUAUUUGUUCUUCUUGCUUUUAGAGUUUUAGUUUGGAUGUAACAAGAUUAAAAAAUAACUAUGCUGAACAAAAUGUCAGAUUCCUAA